rnacentral:rRNA from 1 species
UGAGUAACGCGUGAGGAACCUGCCUUCCAGAGGGGGACAACAGUUGGAAACGACUGCUAAUACCGCAUGAAACAUUUGAACCGCAUGGUUUGAAUGUCAAAGAUUUAUCGCUGGAAGAUGGCCUCGCGUCUGAUUAGCUAGUAGGCGGGGUAACGGCCCACCUAGGCGACGAUCAGUAGCCGGACUGAGAGGUUGGCCGGCCACAUUGGGACUGAGACACGGCCCAGACUCCUACGGGAGGCAGCAG